AAAAAGCUAAGACUAAUAACGGCAAAAUGUACAGGAGAAAAAGAAAACAGCUUUAAUCCACCCACAGUCACGGUGGUGAGCAAUCUCAAAUUUCAAAAAUACACCCAAGCAGAUUCUUACCUGUUUUUCACCCUCUUCUCUCAUGGCUGCCAGCCUGGCAUACAUCUCCCCAUGCUCUCUCUGGGCACUCACUGCUCCCACCCACAGGGCACAGCGUCUUCUCUGCCUGGGAUGCUCUUCUACACUUUGCCUUUUGAAACCAAGCCUCUACACAAAUGACUCUCUUCAGAGAAGCCUUCCCAACAUCUCAUCAGGUACUGGUAAAAAGAAUUAAUACUGGGACAGAGAUGUAAAGCACAUGCCAGAUGAUCAGAGAAGAUCCGAAUGACUGCUAGACAUGGUGGCAUUACCUGAAAACUUCAGGCCUCUUUCCAGAGACAGUGGUCACAGAACUGAGGCCUGUGGGAGCACAAGGAGGUAGCCAGCACUCUCACCCAAGGCUGACUACUUCCGAGUAUGAGUGUAAUUAUGAAAAAAUGGGCAUCUUCAUACAAACUCAGAGAAAGAUGUGUGGAAGAUCACAGAAAGACCCCUGGAUACAUUGCCAAUUCCAGGCUACUGAGAGCACAGUAUGGAAUUUCAACCACAACCACUACAACUAACCAUACUUCCUAUCCUUGGACACUGCAAUGAACCGCCUCCCUGAGAUGACUGUCUGAUUAAUAUAUUUCUAUCCAAGGUUAACUGUAGGGCCUGCAACCCCAAGUCAGUGAUUUUCAACUUAUGGUCUGGAUCCAUGGGUGGGCAAGGGGCUUCCUAAUGGAUUUAAGGAGAAUUCCAAGUCCAAGGGCAAAUGACACAAUGUUAAACAUGGAAGAACCACUUAGUAAAAAAA